rnacentral:rRNA from 1 species
UACGAAGGGGGCUAGCGUUGUUCGGAAUCACUGGGCGUAAAGGGCGCGUAGGCGGCCGAUCAAGUCGGGGGUGAAAGCCUGUGGCUCAACCACAGAAUUGCCUUCGAUACUGUUUGGCUUGAGACCGGAAGAGGUAAGUGGAACUGCGAGUGUAGAGGUGAAAUUCGUAGAUAUUCGCAAGAACACCAGUGGCGAAGGGCGGCUUA